UGCUAUGAACAUCUCCAAACAGGAGAACAUCUAUUUCAGAUAACUGGAAAACGAAUACAGGGUCUGCUUUAUUAGAACAAAUCGAACURAACGACAGAUACAAGAACUGGGUGGACGAGUGCAGUGAGCUGUUUGGUGGACUUGAUAUUCUAUGCGUCGAGGUCAUUCAAGGCAAAGACAAAAAAGACUACAUAAUAGAGGUGACCGAUUCUACUAUGAGACUAUUCRGUGACACACAACAAGAAGACCAAAAUAGGAUCGCUGAUUUAGUCAUGGAAAGAAUGGAAGCCYACUAUCCACCUAUUGCCACACCCAACUCUCCUGAAAAAA